CUGUUGGUAAAACUUCACCAACACCCUUUUGGGCUGUAACUCUGUAGGAAUAAUCCACCAAAGGAUUUUGUUCAUGACUCAUAUUUGUUCACAAGAUAUGAUUAUAGAAGUUUUUAGAGCAAUGGCAUGUGUGCAGCUUUGGGAGGCCUCUUGUUGGUUUAAAGGAGACAUCUCAAAUGAGAAGAAAAGGCUUCUGGCAGCAAGAGCUGUGCUGCAUCUUCAUGAUGGAUGCAGGGGAAUCUGCUGCCUGGAUUGGUUCUGCAGUGCUGAGAAGGUGGAAAACUUGCCUUUGUCAGUAAAAUAAAGAGAUAUGACUCAAGGAGCAAAACAGGAGCUGAGUAAGGCUGUUCUGUCAAAGAAGGAUUUAAAGAGGGCUGUGAGGGAGCAGUGAGUGGCUGCUGUGCAUCCACAGCACCCUCACACCCCAGGCCUCUGCCACUCACCACACAACCUGCUUGGUUUUUCACAUGGAAAAAAACCUUACAGGUCACUUUUCCAAAGAGUGGAUGGUUGAAAGGGGACACAUCAGCUCCCAGAGUGGCUGAACUCCAGCCCUGAGUCCAAUACACCAAGUAAGGGCACAUAUUUAUCUGUACCUAUAAUCUGGAGUUUAUUUCUCCAUUCAGAGUUUUGUGUUCUCUCAGAAGUGCUUCUGUGGUUUCUGCAACCAGCAUUUUAUU